GUACACGCUGUGACUAGCAUAUCAAUAAGCGGAGGAAAAGAAACUAACAGGAUUCCCCUAGUAACGGCGAGUGAAGCGGGAAGAGCUCAAAUUUGAAAUCUUAAAGGGUUUCCCUUUACGAAUUGUAGUUUAAAGAAGUGUUUUCUGUUGAGGUUUUGGUAAAAGUUCUUUGGAAUAGGACAUCAUAGAGGGUGAGAAUCCCGUAUUUGACCUUUACUUUCAACUUUGUGAUACACUUUCAAAGAGUCGGAUUGUUUGGGAAUGCAGUCCAAAAUGGGUGGUAAAUUUCAUUUAAAGCUAAAUAUUGGCGAGAGACCGAUAGCGAACAAGUACCGUGAGGGAAAGAUGAAAAGAACUUUGAAAAGAGAGCUAAACAGUACGUGAAAUUGUCAAAAGGGAAGCGUUUGACACCAGUGUUGUUUUUCUGAAAAUCAAUUAAAGAACUGUUUAUGCUAAGCUGUUUAGACUUUAUCAGCUAUCUGUUUAGUUUUGAGCUUUUCUUUAAUGCACUUUUCAGUUAACAAGUCAACAUCAAUUUCUUUUGCUGUAAAAAAGCUUGAGGAAGGUGGCUUGAGAUUCGUCUUAAGUGUUUAUAGCCUCUUGCCUAUGCAGUCGGAGAGAUUGAGGUCUGCAGCGUAGAUCCUUCGGGGCUAAAUGCAUUUGUGCUAAGUUAUAGCAUUUUAUAGACAACUUGUUGACUAUGAUUUGUCUUGUAGCUUACUCGCUUAUGUUAUUUUACCUACGCUUAGGAUGUUGACUGAUAUGUAGUCGUA
rnacentral:rRNA from 1 species